ACGGCGGACAUAAUGCAAACGAGCGGCAUCUGCGUUAGCUCGCGAAGGAUUUGUGUGGCGUUUUCCGUGUACAAAUUUGGAGUUAUUUCGUGAUUUAUGGUGGCGAAAUACGUGUCUACUUACCAGGUAAUGUUUAGUAUGAGUACGAAAAUAAGCAAGCGUCUGUACAAGCUGACUUCGGAGCACGGAGAGAGCCCAGACCAAUCACGAAACCAGGAGCAACAGGUACUAAUGACCUGUGGGUCGGAAGCGGGCCACAUUUUCCAUGGGCACCAGACCUCUGCGUGUUGCCUCAAUGCCCCCAAAGAAAAAAUUGGGGAAAGAGAAGUAAUGAUCGGACGAAGAGCUACAGCAACUGGUACAUGACCGGCACAGCCAGUGUAAAGAAUUUUUUUUACGUAGACAUUCAAGCAAGCAUCUGAAAAGGGGUAAUGAGUGUGGAAAAAUUUAUGAAGAAACACUUUUUGAAGAGUUUCUCAUUUGCUCAAUAAAUAAUUCAUUGUGAAGAUUUUGAA